GACGAACGCUGGCGGCGUGCUUAACACAUGCAAGUCGAACGGAGUGGCGAACGGGUGAGUCACACGUGGAUGACCUGCCCUGCACUUCGGGAUAAGCCUGGGGAACUGGGUCUAAUACCGGAUAGUGUGGGAUGGGCUCGCGGCCUAUCAGCUUGUGGGUGGGGUAAUGGUCUACCAAGGCGGCGACGGGUAGCCGGCCUGAGAGGGUGGACGGCCACAUUGGGACUGAGGCACGGCCCAGACGCGUACGGGAGGCAGCAGUGGGGAAUAUUGCACAAUGGGCGGAAGCCUGAUGCAGCGACGCCGGGUGGGGGAUGACUGCUUUCGGGUUGUAAACUCCUUUCACCAUCGACGCGGUAGAUGGAGAAGAAGCACCGGCUAACUACGUGCCAGCAGCCGCGGUAAUUC
rnacentral:rRNA from 1 species